ACGGCAUCCCCGCCUGCCAGUACCGCGGUGUUCUGACCCCCUGCCUCCGCCCGCAGGUUCGAGUGCGACUUCCCGACGACAGGCACGAUCAAGCGGAAGCCGUCGGUGAACCCGAAGCUGCCGCUGACGUCGAUCACGCGACAGCUGAAGGAGGUGGGCGAGACGGUGGCCUGCACCCCGUCGACGCCUUCUCCCUCGACGGCGGCCACCACGCCCACGUCCGUCUUCUCCCCGUCGGUCGACCUGGCAGAUUCUGUGAACGUCAACGUGGGCACUGUCCAGAGAGCAGGUUCGGUGCGGAGGCGGCGGUCGUGCCAGACGCCGUCGACGCCGGACGGCGGGGGCGGAGCAGACGGCGGCAGCAACUCGAGCACCCUCAAACGGCACCACAGCGUCGGGGGCGGGUCGGCCCGGAGCUCCGCCUCCGCCUCCUCGUCCAGCUCGUCCACCCCCGUCAGGGAGCCACCCCCACCGCUGCCCGUGCCGGCAGAGUCGGAGGUGGAGGAGGAGCUGCCGCCGCCCCCGCCGGACAUGUUCGAGAGCACGCUGAGCCUGGACUCGCUGCCGCCCCCGCCGCCGCCGCAGCCGCAGCCGGCCGAGCUGUCGGGCAGCCGGCUGAGCCUGGC